GGACCAGGGGCGAUGUUGGGCGCUGCACGGAGCUGGGGACGCCCGGAAGGCGUGCGUGUGUCCGUGGUCCUGUUGCUGUCCCAAGUGCCCUCCUCAUCCCCCAAGUGAUGGGAACAAGGGCCCGCCCAGGCAGUCGCUGUCGCCGUACCGCCCCCUCGCUCGCCUCCUGCGCGCGGAGUCACCCAGGCACACCCCCGGCACCCCGAGCCGGUGCUCCGGAGCUGCAGCCGCUAUCUUGACUGCCAUCGCCGCCUGCGCGGGUGGCCAGCUGCUGGCUUGGCUCGCCUGUACACGGAGAAACACUUUUUGGCUCUCCUUAAUCCGGUCUCACACCCCAACUUUGCCGCCCCGCGCCUGCCCUCUCAGCGGCGCUCGGGCACACGUUGUGGGGGCGCACGCAGGGAGGCUCAGUAAGACGGUGGAGGCAGGAAACGGCACAACUGAUCCUCUGCUUCGGCUCUUUGUUGUUCGGUUUGGAUGGUCCUUGGAAGUGGCUGAGCCUCUUCGGAAACCCGGGGGCCGGAGAAGACAAGCCUAGGAAUUCUUCCUUUGCAGAGGGCUCUUGAGAUAUUGACAAUCGUCUGGAAGGGUCGACAAGUAAUUGCCCAGAAAACUCCUGGCGGAUUGACCCACGUUGCUUAUAUUAAGCCUUUGUGUAGGUUUGUGUGGUUGUGUGGCUUCAUAAAUUUGGGAACCCCAUUUCUACUCCAUUCUCUUGGCAUGAGAUUGUAUGCAGGAUCCACCCGAGGACAAUGAUCGCGG
rnacentral:lncRNA from 1 species